AAGUACUAACGAGCUGCGAAAUGGCCAGAAGGCAGAGGGAGGGGCGGAUGAGGGCUGGAUAACGAGCAGUCGGCUAGAAUGUGUAUUGUGACCGCGGACCGCUAUUUUUUUCCUGGAGCCCUGUUUGCCAUUUGAUGGGUUUGUGUCGAAUUCCCAACCAGCAGAGGUCACCGCAGAUGCUCCCGAACCUACUUUCAGACGCACCUUCGCAGCGAGACGACAGAAAUAUAGGAAGAUAAACAUUUUUAAAAAGCCCUAAUUGGAUCAAACAUGGCUGACAACAGGAGAAAGGGGGAAAGGAGCCCAGCAAGAACACUGUUCCUAAUGUGAAAUAAUCUGCCGCCUUUAAUAAAGAAGAUAUCUCUGA